rnacentral:rRNA from 1 species
GGGGACAAGUAGAGUGGCGUCCGGGUGAGUAACACGUAGGUAAUCUACCUUCGGGUGGGGAAUAACGCAGGGAAACUUGCGCUAAUACCGCAUAAUGCAGCGGCACCACAUGGUGACAGUUGUUAAAGCGGGGGAUUUUCGAACCUCGCGCCUGAAGAGGAGCCUGCGGCGGAUUAGCUAGUUGGUAAGGUAACGGCUUACCAAGGCGACGAUCCGUAACCGGCCUGAGAGGGCGGUCGGUCACACUGACACUGACAUACGGGUCAGACUCCUACGGGAGGCAGCAGUCGGGAAUUUUGGGCAAUGGGCGAAAGCCUGACCCAGCAACGCCGCGUGAAGGAUGAAAUCCCUCGGGAUGUAAACUUCGCAAGAAUGGGAAGAAUAGACGAGUACUAAUACUGCUCGUGAUGACGGUACCAUUUGUAAGCUCCGGCUAACUCCGUGCCAGCAGCCGCGGUAAUACGGGGGGAGCAAGCGUUGUUCGGAUUUACUGGGCGUAAAGGGCGCGUAGGCGGCCAGCACAAGUCAGUUGUGAAAUCUCCGGGCUUAACUCGGAAAGGUCAACUGAUACUGUGCGGCUAGAGUGCAGAAGGGGCAACUGGAAUUCUCGGUGUAGCGGUGAAAUGCGCAGAUAUCGAGAGGAACACCUGCGGCGAAGGCGGGUUGCUGGGCUGACACUGACGCUGAUGCGCGAAGCCAGGGGAGCGAACGGGAUUAGAUACCCCGGUAGUCCUGGCCUUAAACGAUGGAUGC